UACAGAGGGUGCGAGCGUUAAUCGGAAUUACUGGGCGUAAAGCGUGCGUAGACGGUAGCGUAAGUCGGGUGUGAAAGCCCCGGGCUCAACCUGGGAAUUGCAUUCGAGACUGCUCUGCUAGGGUGCGGAAGAGGGAAGCGGAAUUUCCGGUGUAGCGGUGAAAUGCGUAGAUAUCGGAAGGAACGCCAAUGGUGAAAACAACUUGCUGGGGGUGUGCUGACGCCGAGACACGAAAGCCAGGGGAGCAAACGGG
rnacentral:rRNA from 1 species